rnacentral:rRNA from 1 species
UAGAGUUUGAUCCUGGCUCAGGAUGAACGCUGGCGGCGUGCCUAACACAUGCAAGUCGAACGGUCCUUUCGGGGGCAGUGGCGCACGGGUGAGGAACACGUAGCUGACCUGCCUUGGAGAGCGGGAUAACGGGUCGAAAGACCUGCUAAUACCGCAUAAGCUCACGGGGUUUAGAAAGCUGUGAGAAAAGGGGCAACCCGCUUCAAGAGGGGGCUGCGACCCAUCAGGUAGAUGGCGAGGUAACGGCUCACCAUGCCGACGACGGGUAACGGGUCUGAGAGGAUGAUCCGUCACACUGGGACUGAGACACGGCCCAGACUCCUACGGGAGGCAGCAGUGAGGAAUAUUGCACAAUGGGGGAAACCCUGAUGCAGCGACGCCGCGUGGGUGAAGAAGGUCUUCGGAUCGUAAAACCCUUUUCUGCGUGACGAGAGAGGACGGUAGCGCAGGAAUAAGCCUCGGCUAACUACGUGCCAGCAGCCCCGGUCAA